rnacentral:rRNA from 1 species
GAUGAACGCUAGCGGCAGGCUUAACACAUGCAAGUCGAGGGGUAACAGGGAUUAGUUUACUAAUUUGCUGACGACCGGCGCACGGGUGAGUAACGCGUAUACAAUUUACCUUUUACAGAGGAAUAGCCCAGAGAAAUUUGGAUUAAUGCCUCAUAGUAUUAUCGGAUCGCAUGGUUUGAUAAUUAAAGUUUCGGCGGUAAAAGAUGAGUAUGCGUUCUAUUAGCUAGAUGGUAAGGUAACGGCUUACCAUGGCGACGAUAGAUAGGGGCCCUGAGAGGGGGAUCCCCCACACUGGUACUGAGACACGGACCAGACUCCUACGGGAGGCAGCAGUGAGGAAUAUUGGGCAAUGGAGGCAACUCUGACCCAGCCAUGCCGCGUGCAGGAAGACGGCCCUAUGGGUUGUAAACUGCUUUUAUAUAGGAAGAACUGCAUCUACGUGUAGAUGUUUGACGGUACUAUAUGAAUAAGCACCGGCUAACUCCGUGCCAG